UUGCUAUAUCUUUUUAAGCAAAAUGUCAAUUCAUAUCUUUGGCCCAUUUUUAAAAAUGGGUUGUUUGUCUUACUGAGUUGUAUAAAUUCCUUAUAUAUUCAGAAUAUGAGAUCUUUAUGAAGACAUGAUUUUAAGAUAUUUUCUCAGUCUAUGGCUUGUCCUUUUAUUUUUUUUUGUUUUAUUUUUUUUAAAGAUUUUAUUUAUUUAUUUGAAAGAGAGAGAAUGAGAGAGAGCACAUGAGAGGGGGGAGGGUCAGAGGGAGAAGCAGACUCCCCGCCGAGCAGGGAGCCCAACGCGGGACUCGAUCCAGACACUCCAGGAUCAUGACCUGAGCCGAAGGCAGUUGCUUAACCAACUGAGCCACCCAGGCGCCCUGCUUGUCCUUUUUUUUAAAGAUUGAUUGAUUGAUUGAUUGAAAGAGAGUGCCAGCAGGGAGAAAGGCAGAUUUAGAGGGAGAAGAGAAUCUGAAGCUGACUCAUACAAUUUUCAGAGGAUGAAAGUUGAAAGAAAAAUGCUUAAUUUUCUGUUUUAUGUUAAGUUGCCUUUAAAUAUUCUCCUGGGCACCCCCUAUUAUUUUGGUAUGUGGAAGAGCAUUUUUUAUUUCCUAAAAUAAUCCUGUGGAACUUUAAUCACAUCACCCCUGUGUGAGAGAAUCCAUUCUUUUUUUUUUUUUUUUUAAAGAUUUUAUUUAUUUGACAGAGACACAGCGAGAGAGGGAACACAAGCAGGAGUGGGAGAGGGAGAAGCAGGCUUCCCGCAGAGCAGGGAGCCCGAUGCGGGGCUCGAUCCCAGACCCUGGGACCAUGACCUGAGCUGAAGGCAGACGCCUAACGACUGAGCCACCCAGGCUUUAAAAAAACCUCACAAGACUCACUACUGUGGCGGGACAAGUACUCAGAAACAACACCAUGGAGCUGCCACACCAGCCUUGGACCAUUUACACAAGGACUGUUAGGAAUGAGAGAGACACUUCUAUCUCGACUAAGCCAUCCUGAGUCUCUAUGUCAAUAGCCAAAUUUAUAUUCUCCCUAACAUACUGAAUAAUCCACUGGGUCAUUUUAAACAAUUGGAUGCCACCUAUGAAUGUUUGCAUCUAAACUCUGAAUGUCUGUCAAAGUGAUUUAAUAAAAAUCUACACAGUGGGGAAAAAAAACCCCAAACUUACUAUCAAGUAGCAUAUCUGUUUUCAUCCCUCUUCUUAUUUCUUUAUAAUCUUCUCUGGCUUGAAGUCAGAUGUGUAAGCUUGUUAGUGUUUCUAACCUGAAAGUGAUUAGGUCAUGAAUGGUAACAUAAAUUACUAUAUAAUUUACCUUCAGAUAUGCAGAUUGUUACUGCAGUAAGAUGUCAUGUAGGACACAUAAGAUUUUUUUUCCAGAAGGAUCAAAUACUUCAAAUACGUUAUUUUAUUUAAACAUGUAUCUUAUAUUUUUUGUUCUGUUUAUCUUGUUGGUGCUAUGACAUGAUUUUUGUAGAUUUAUUCAAGUUACAUGAAAUGUAUGUAAACAAGCAAAGUUUGUUUAUUGGAAUUGUUAAUUUUAGAAAUAAAUGAACAGCAGGUACUUUGUAUGUCACAGUUAAAUCCACAAAUAUUUAUUUUCUACUAUAUGCAAUGUGCUGGGUGGGGUACAAAUAAAUAUAAAGCAUGGUUCCUUCCUUCAGAAGGAAAUAGAACACAAGCAUUUGAAAAGUAAAUAAUUUCUAAUCGAAUGGACACACAAGAAACUGUUGAUAACCAUUAGCUCUGGCAAAUAGAACUAAGGUCUGGAUGUGGGAGAAUAUAACUUUUUGUACUCUGAAAUUUUUUGUAGCGAGCUUGUUUUAUUUUCACAAUAUAAAAUGCCUAAAAAAGAAAUAACAAUAACUUUAAGUAACAGUUCAAUACUUUAAUAGAAGCAGUUUCCCAGUGAUGAACUGAUGCACGAUACUUGUUUCAAGUGGGAGAGAAAUGUGUCUGGGUGUUUAACUUGGAGAUAGAAUUUGAACAGCAGGAUGGAUUUUACUUAAGGUUUGGAGGUUGAGUGGUAUAACUUUGUGAUUUGUACAUCUUUAAUGUUGCUUUCAUUCACCUCUUGCAAUUUGGAAAUUUAAAUGAUACCUUUACAAGAAUGAUUGGGGCAGGGAAAUGAAAUCUGUGAGAUAAGAGUACAAUUUGGUUUGUGUUAGGGCUCAAUGACUGUCUCCUGUCAUCCUUCCUUUACUGCAUCCCUCUGUUGCUCUCCUUACUUCCAGCUCCUUAGGAAACUUGGCUGAGGAAUGAGCCCAGGUGAUCCUAAAUGGCUUGACUCUACACACCUGUCAUCUCCUUUUCCAUGAUUAUUAGCCAUGAAUAAACCUGGCAACUUAUAAACAGCAGGACAGACUUGAAUGUGCCAUGUGUGAGAGAUUAUUUGCUUCUCUUAAUCUUAAAAAAGUGGCACUAUGGGGCGCCUGGGUGGCUUAGUUGGUUAAGCGACUGCCUUCGGCUCAGGUCAUGCAUGAUCCUGGAGUCCCAGGAUCGAGUCCCACAUCGGGCUCCCUGCUCAGCGGGGAGUCUACUUCUCCCUCUGACCCUCUUGCCCUCUGCCCCUCAUGUGUUCUCUCUCUCUCCCUCAUUCUCUCUCUCUCAAAUAAAUAAAUAAAAUCUUAAAAAAAAAAGUGGCACCAGAAAAUGCUUCCUAUUGUUUUUUUUUUUUUUUUUUAACGGGGUGGGGGGUGUUGGUGAGAGGGGUAGUAAUUUAAGUUGUUCUAUACUAUCUGACAAAACUUUGAAAAUUUGUCUUAUGUGGAAUUAGGCACUUUAUUAGAGUUUCCAUAAAAAUUCUGGGUGGGGCUCUUGCCCUGCUAUGAAAGUUUGUUCAUAGGACUCACGGGAAAGAGCAAGUAGGAGGAAUUCCCCUGAGGUUAGGUAAGUCAUCCCAGUUAGGAAGUCCAAGUAGAGCCUGGGUUCUAAGUCUGGCAAAAACUCUUAUUUUACUUACUUUACUCAACAUCUGACGGGUACUUUAAUUUUCAGAUAAUUAUGUUCUUUAUCAGUGAUUGUUGAAUCAGGGAGAGGUGUGACAGGAUCGUGUGGCAGGGCCUUUUCUAAAUAAACAA